CGGCCACACUGGGACUGAGACACGGCCCAGACUCCUACGGGAGGCAGCAGUGGGGAAUAUUGCACAAUGGGCGGAAGCCUGAUGCAGCAACGCCGCGUGAGGGAUGACGGCCUUCGGGUUGUAAACCUCUUUUAGCAGGGAAGAAGCGAAAGUGACGGUACCUGCAGAAAAAGCGCCGGCUAACUACGUGCCAGCAGCCGCGGUAAUACGUAGGGCGCAAGCGUUAUCCGGAAUUAUUGGGCGUAAAGAGCUCGUAGGCGGUUUGUCGCGUCUGCUGUGAAAUCCCGAGGCUCAACCUCGGGCCUGCAGUGGGUACGGGCAGACUAGAGUGCGGUAGGGGAGAUUGGAAUUCCUGGUGUAGCGGUGGAAUGCGCAGAUAUCAGGAGGAACACCGAUGGCGAAGGCAGAUCUCUGGGCCGUAACUGACGCUGAGGAGCGAAAGGGUGGGGAGCAAACAGGCUUAGAUACCCUGGUAGUCCACCCCGUAAACGUUGGGAACUAGUUGUGGGGACCAUUCCACGGUUUCCGUGACGCAGCUAACGCAUUAAGUUUCCCGCCUGGGGAGUACGGCCGCAAGGGGCUAAACUCAAGGAAUUGACGGGGACCCGCACAAGCGGCGGAGCAUGCGGAUUAAUUCGAUGCAACGCGAAGAACCUUACCAAGGCUUGACAUAUACGAGAAACGGGCCAGAAAUGGUCAACUCUUUGGACACUCGUAAACAGGUGGUGCAUGG
rnacentral:rRNA from 1 species